rnacentral:rRNA from 1 species
UACAGAGGGGGCAAGCGUUGUUCGGAAUUACUGGGCGUAAAGGGCGCGUAGGCGGCCUGCUAAGUCGAACGUGAAAUCCCCGAGCUCAACUCGGGAACUGCGUCCGAUACUGACAGGCUUGAAUCCGGGAGAGGGAUGCGGAAUUCCAGGUGUAGCGGUGAAAUGCGUAGAUAUCUGGAGGAACACCGGUGGCGAAGGCGGCAUCCUGGACCGGCAUUGACGCUGAGGCGCGAAAGCUAGGGGAGCAAACGGG